rnacentral:rRNA from 1 species
AUUGAACGCUGGCGGCAGGCCUAACACAUGCAAGUCGAGCGAGCGGCGGACGGGUGAGUAAUGGAUGGGAAACUGCCUGAUGGAGGGGGAUAACUACUGGAAAAGGUAGCUAAUCCCACAUACCAUCAGAUCUGGCCAGGUUGGAUUAGAUAGUAGGUGGGGUAAUGGCUCACCUAGGCGACGAUCCCUAGCUGGGCUGAGAGGAUGACCAGACACACUGGAACUGAGACACGGUCCAGACUCCUACGGGAGGCAGCAGUGGGGAAUAUUGCACAAUGGGCGAAAGCCUGAUGCAGCCAGUCCGCGUGUGUGAAGAAGGCCUUCGGGUUGUAAAGCACUUUCAGCGGGGAGGCGUUACCCGCAGAAGAAGCACCGGCUAACUCCGUGCCAGCAGCCGCGGUAAUAC